AGUCGAACGCGAAAGGGGGCUUCGGCUCCCGAGUAGAGUGGCGCACGGGUGAGUAACACGUGGGUAAUCUGCCUUUGGGUGGGGAAUAACGUUCCGAAAGGGACGCUAAUACCGCAUAACGCAGCGGCACCGCAUGGUGACAGUUGUUAAAGUGGGGGAUCUUCGGACCUCACGCCUAAAGAGGAGCCCGCGCCCGAUUAGCUAGUUGGCGAGGUAAUGGCUCACCAAGGCGACGAUCGGUAGCCGGCCUGAGAGGGCGGUCGGCCACACUGGCACUGAGAUACGGGCCAGACUCCUACGGGAGGCAGCAGUGGGGAAUUUUGGGCAAUGGGCGAAAGCCUGACCCAGCAACGCCGCGUGAAGGACGAAAUCCCUUCGGGAUGUAAACUUCAAAAGUUGGGGAAGAAAUGCCUGAGGCGAAUAGCCUUGGGAGAUGACGGUACCCAACGUAAGCCCCGGCUAACUACGUGCCAGCAGCCGCGGUAAUACGUAGGGGGCAAGCGUUGUUCGGAAUUACUGGGCGUAAAGGGCGCGUAGGCGGCACGGCAAGUCAGGAGUGAAAGCCCUGGGCUCAACCCGGGAACUGCUUUUGAAACUGCCGAGCUAGAGUGCGGAAGGGGCAACUGGAAUUCCCAGUGUAGCGGUGAAAUGCGUAGAUAUUGGGAAGAACACCUGAGGCGAAGGCGGGUUGCUGGGCCGACACUGACGCUGAUGCGCGAAAGCCAGGGGAGCGAACGGGAUUAGAUACCCCGGUAGUCCUGUCCCUAAACGAUGGAUACUUGGUGUGUGGGGUUGU
rnacentral:rRNA from 1 species